GGACAUAAUGAGCGGUGUUAGUGACAAUCAAAAGCCCAAGCACAGAACAAGUCAGACCCUGGUCAAUAACCUCGGAGCUCAUAGCUAAUUGUCACAAUAAGUGUCAUGGAUACAAAAGCACUGCCUGGCUCAUAACAGGCAAUGAAUUUUAUGAAGUUAGAGAAUUGAUCAAAUGCCAUUAAUCUUCUUUGUGAUAAUUCCUUCAAUUCAAAUAAAAUAUCUUUGGAAUAUAGGACUCAAAGGUUUUCAUUUUCACAUGUAUGUGUUAAGAUUAAACUAC